rnacentral:rRNA from 1 species
GCGACAAGACCUGGAGAUAUCAGAAGUGAGAAUGCUGACAUGAGUAGCGACAAAGAGUGUGAGAGACACUCUCGCCGAAAGUCCAAGGGUUCCUGCUUAAAGCUAAUCUGAGCAGGGUGAGCCGGCCCCUAAGCCGAGGCCGAAAGGCGUAGGCGAUGGGAACCAGUUUAAUAUUACUGGGCCAGAGGAUGGUGACGGAUCGAAAGCGUAGUUCAACCUUACUGGAUUGGUUGGGCUGCCGGACGGUUCCUGGAAAUAGCCCCUCAUUAGACCGUACCCUAAACCGACACAGGUGGACUGGUAGAGAAUACCAAGGCGCUUGAGAGAACUCGGGUGAAGGAACUAGGC